UCGCUCUGACCCGGUGCGGUGCUCCUCGUGGGCACCACUGCUGUGUGUCGGAACGUACCUUCCAUCCUUUCUGGGCAGCCUCUGCGUACUGUUUACUCAGUUUUGCGCGGAUGUGCCGACCAGAUCUUUUACUUUGAAAAAAUUAGAGUGUUUAAAGCAGGCUUACGCCGUGAAUACAUUAGCAUGGAAUAAUAAUUUAGGACUUCGGUUCUAUUUUGUUGGUUUCUAGGACUGAAGUAAUGAUUGAUAGGGAUAGUUGGGGGUGCUAGUAUUCAGCGGCCAGAGGUGAAAUUCUCGGAUUCGCUGAAGACUAACUUAUGCGAAAGCAUU
rnacentral:rRNA from 1 species